rnacentral:lncRNA from 1 species
ACAAAAUUUGACCGAAGCCAUAUCCAAUAAUCUGGUUAGCGGGUGGAUCAAAACAAACAUAUGCCUCGUUUUUUCGGCUUCUAGGAGCGGCUUCCGCUGAAAGUUGUCCUCCAGUUUGCAGGGAUAGCUUCUCGAAAAAACGGAUCUAGGAGCAACUGGGUGGUAUGUGCGCUUGCUAAGCCUCAAGUCAUAUAUCUUAAUUCUUGAUAUGUUUGUUUGAAAGAGUAGCUAACCUCUCGUACUUUAGGGCCUAGUUUUGAAAACCGGACCGGACCACCGGAACCGGAGGCCUGGCAGGUCUGCUAAGCGCACUGGACCGGACAGGCAAGCGAACCGGAUAUUCUUCGGUCGAACCGGCGAUUUUCGCGUGAACCGGUGACGGUCCGAGCGGUCUGACCGCCAAAUGGGCCUUGUUUAGUGUUUUUUCAUGGGCCGCGUCAUUGUAGUCUAAAAAUUGGUGUCGUCGGUGGGAUUCGAUCCCAGGACGUAGGCGAAAGGGUCGCGCGGACCAGCGGAGUAGCCAGAAGAGCCG